AACUUUUAACAAUGGAUCUCUAGGCUCUCACAUCGAUGAAGAACACAGUGAAAUGUGAUAAGUAAUGUGAAUUGCAGAAAUUCAGUGAAUCAUCGAAUCCUUUGAACGCAUCUUGCACCUUUUGGUAUUCCAAAAAGGUACACCUGUUUGAGUGUCA
rnacentral:rRNA from 1 species